AUGGUCAGCAAAAUGGACAUGUACCUGGAGUCGCUUCUCAUCCUGGCUGUUUUAAGGGAAAGCCAGCCCUGGAUGUUUUGUCCCCAAUUAAACAAAACCGUUUUGAUGUGCAUAAAUGUGUGGAACCUCCUCUGGGCUAAAAGUGAAGGGGGCUCUACCUUUUGGAAGAGCAUUACUUGGGCAUUAGCAGCUGCAAAAACUUUUUAUAGAUGGAAACUAGGUGAUGGUAAACUCAAUAGUUUUUGGCAUGAUGUGUGGGUGGGGGAUUGUUCCCUUAAAGUGCAGUUCUGGGACUUGUUCUGUAUUUGUAACCAGGUUGAUAGCACUGUAGCCCAAGUCUGGGAUGGGAAUGAGCUGAAAUUAACAUUUAGGAGAUGUGUUGACAUGACUGGGAUGAACCUGUGGGAUCAACUUGUCUGUUUGAUCAAACAGUACCCUCCAUCAGAUGAAGUGGACAUCCCCAUUUGGGGGUUAGAACCUAGUGGGUCUUUCUCAGUUAAAUCUUUUUACAAACAGAUCAAUUUUGGUGGGGUAGCUUCUAGUGUUAGUACAAAAAUGUGGAAAAUCCUUUGUCCACAGAACAUUCAUAUCUUCUUAUGGCUCUGUAUUCACAACAAAAUACUGACUAGGGAUAAUCUUGCGAAGAGAAGGGAGGUGGAAGAUCCUUCCUGUCUAUUUUGUUUUGAACCUGAAACUGUUCAACAUCUGAUGUUUGAUUGUGUGGUGGCCCAGCAAGUCUGGAACUUUGUUGUAGAAAUUUUUAAUAUUGAUAACAUAUCCUGUUUUGAAAAAGUUAUGGCCUUCUGGCAUAUGCAUAAAGAUAAAGCUGUUUUGAAUCUGACAACAACUGCUACCUUGUGGAGCUUGUGGAGACUAAGGAACGAAUUUUGUUUUCAGGGGCGCAAAUGGAGAAAUGUGAAUUGCAUUCUUGCAAAACUAAGCUGUUAUUUGCACCAGUGGAAAGUUCUCUGCGACGAUGGGCAAGCAAUCCUGCUGCAACGAUGCAUCCUACUGCUGGACAAGCGGCGUGGGGAACUCCUCUUGCAACCCCCUUUCAUUCAAAAAAAUAAAUGUGUAGUGUGCUGCUUUGCAGAUCGCCGUGCCGGAGCACUGCUGCUUGGCACGCCGUCUUCCCCUUAUUUUGCUGAUGCUCUGUCUGAAAGUCACCUGCUCACCAGCAGAAAGAAAGAAGCCGACUUUGAGAUUCACCAAAGCAUAUCCUCCAUUUGUAUCCAGCUCCCAUUUUGA
rnacentral:rRNA from 1 species